AUGCACGCUGGCGGCGUGCCUAAUACCUGCAAGUCGCGCGAACAGACGAGGAGCUUGCUCCUCUGACGUUAGCGGCGGACGGGUGAGUAGCACGUGGAUAACCUACCUAUAAGACUGGGAUAACUUCGGGAAACCGGAGCUAAUACCGGAUAAUAUAUUGAACCGCAUGGUUCAAUAGUGAAAGACGGUUUUGCUGUCACUUAUAGAUGGAUCCGCGCCGCAUUAGCUAGUUGGUAAGGUAACGGCUUACCAAGGCAACGAUGCGUAGCCGACCUGAGGGGGUGAUCGGCCACACUGGAACUGAGACACGGUCCAGACUCCUACGGGAGGCAGCAGUAGGGAAUCUUCCGCAAUGGGCGAAAGCCUGACGGAGCAACGCCGCGUGAGUGAUGAAGGUCUUCGGAUCGUAAAACUCUGUUAUUAGGGAAGAACAAAUGUGUAAGUAACUAUGCACGUCUUGACGGUACCUAAUCAGAAAGCCACGGCUAACUACGUG
rnacentral:rRNA from 1 species